rnacentral:rRNA from 1 species
AUUGAACGCUGGUGGCAGGCCUAACACAUGCAAGUCGAACGAGUGGCGGACGGGUGAGUAAUGUCUGGGAAACUGCCCGAUGGAGGGGGAUAACUACUGGAAACGGUAGCUAAUACCGCAUACCAUCGGAUGUGCCCAGAUGGGAUUAGCUAGUAGGUGGGGUAAAGGCUCACCUAGGCGACGAUCCCUAGCUGGUCUGAGAGGAUGACCAGCCACACUGGAACUGAGACACGGACCAGACUCCUACGGGAGGCAGCAGUGGGGAAUAUUGCACAAUGGGCGCAAGCCUGAUGCAGCCAUGCCGCGUGUAUGAAGAAGGCCUUCGGGUUGUAAAGUACUUUCGGCUGGGAGGCGUUACCCGCAGAAGAAGCACCGGCUAACUCCGUGCCAGCAGCCGCGGUAAUUC